rnacentral:tRNA from 1 species
GCAUUGGUGGUUCAGUGGCAAAAUUCACACCUUCUAUGCGGGCGACCUGGGUUCGAUUCCCAGCCAAGGCA